rnacentral:rRNA from 1 species
UAAAUUUAAUUUAUUAAUUUAUUUUUUUUUAUUUGUUUUUUUUAUAAAAGUAAUUUACUUAUUUAUUGUUUUAGUAUUUAUUAAAAAUUAAUUUAUAGAUUUAUAGUUUAAUAGUAUUGUAAAAGAAAUUAUUAAAUUUAAAAAAGAAUUAUUUUAGUACCUUUUGUAUCAGGGUUGAUUAAAAUUUUUAAUUUUUUUUUAAUUUCUCAAAAUUUAUAGAGUUAAUUUUAUUAUUAAUUUAUUGUUUUACAAAUAUUUAAAAAAUAAUAUUAGUUUUGAAAUUUAAUUCGUUAUAUUAUAUUUAGUUAUUUAAGAUUUAAAUUUAAUUUAAAAUUUUAAAAGUUAUAUUAAUUUUAUUAAUAGAUAUUUUAAAUUUAGAUUAUUUUAGGGAUAAGCUUGAAAUUUUUAUAUAAUUAAUUAUUUAUUUUAAUAAUUUAUAGGAAUAGAAAUUUUUAUUUUAAGUUUGUAAAAAUUUAUUAUUUAUUUAAUUUUAAUUUAUUAUAUUUUUGUUUAUUUUUUAUAUUAAAUUUUAUUAAUAAAUAUUUUAUUAAUAGUAAUAAUGAUUAAAUUAGUAUAAUUUAUUUAUAUUUAUAAAUUAUGAAUUCGGCAAUAAUUAUUUUCAUCUGUUUAACAAAAACAUUGUAUUAAGUUUAAUUUAAUAUAGGAUCUGCUCAAUGAUUUAUUAAAUAGCUGCAGUAUUUUGACUGUGCAAAGGUAGCAUAAUAAUUAGUCUUUUAAUUGAGGACUUGAAUGAAAGAUUUGAUGAAAAAUAGACUUUAUUAUUUAUAUAAUUAAAAUUUUAUUUUUAAGUAAAAAAGCUUAAAUUAUUUAAAGGGACGAUAAGACCCUAUAAAACUUUAUAAAUUUUAUUUUUAAUUUUUUUGGAUUUAUAAAUAUUUUAUUAUUAAAAUUUAUUUUAUUGGGGUGAUAAAAAAAAUUAAUUAACUUUUUUUAAAUUUAACAUUAUUUAGUGAAUAUUUGAAUUAAAAUUUUUAAUUAAAGGAAAAAGUUACUUUAGGGAUAACAGCGUAAUUAAUUUUUUAAGUUCAAAUUUAAAAAUUAGUUUGCGACCUCGAUGUUGAAUUAAGAUUAAUCUUAGGUGCAAAAUUUUAAGUGUUAGGUCUGUUCGACCUUUAAAUUCUUACAUGAUUUGAGUUCAAACCGGUGUAAGCCAGGUUGGUUUCUAUCUUUUAAAAAUUAAUUUAUUUUAGUACGAAAGGAUUAAAUAAUUAAAUUAAAUUUUAUUUAAAUGAAUAAAAAUAAUUU